rnacentral:lncRNA from 1 species
AUGGCGGCGGCGGCGCAGAGCACGAGCGGCGGCGAGGUUUCCGUUGAGCACGCUGCGAGCAGCGGGGAUUCUGGUUCUCAAAUUCCUGAUCUUGCGGCGCCACCGGACCGCGGCGAACAUCACGGCGAUGCACAGGGCCACGACGACGACAGGUCGAGCUCCAUCACCGAGCUCAUGGUCUCGAGGCUCGCCGGUAUGCCGCUGGACAAGUCGUUCUACGAGAGGUACAGCUCUUGCAGUCCCGGCGGGAUGCUCCCGGACAACCUGUUGCCCGUCAGGUUCAGCCUCCUAAGUCCUUUCAGCCUACUCAGAAAUGACGACUCCGCCGGUGGAGGCGCUCUUGGAACCUGUCAUGGACCGGCGAGCCGUGGGAGGUAGAUGGCGCCAG